rnacentral:rRNA from 1 species
AUGAACGCUGGCGGCGUGCCUAAUACAUGCAAGUCGAGCGAACAGACGAGGAGCUUGCUCCUCUGACGUUAGCGGCGGACGGGUGAGUAACACGUGGAUAACCUACCUAUAAGACUGGGAUAACUUCGGGAAACCGGAGCUAAUACCGGAUAAUAUAUUUAACCGCUUGGUUCAAUAGUGAAAGACGGUUUUGCUGUCACUUAUACAUGGAUCCGCGCCGCAUUAGCUAGUUGGUAAGGUAACGGCUUAUCAAGGCAACGAUGCGUAGCCGACCUGAGAGGGUGAUAGGCCACACUGGAACUGAAACACGGUCAAGACUCCUACGGGAGGCAGCAGUAGGGAAUCUUCCGCAAUGGGCGAAAGCCUGACGGAGCAACGCCGCGUGAGUGAUGAAGGUCUUCGGAUCGUAAAACUCUGUUAUUAGGGAAGAACAAAUGUGUAAGUAACUAUGCACGUCUUGACGGUACCUAAUCAGAAAGCAACGGCUAACUACGUG